rnacentral:rRNA from 1 species
UACGAAGGGGGCUAGCGUUGCUCGGAAUCACUGGGCGUAAAGCGCACGUAGGCGGAUUGCUAAGUCAGGGGUGAAAUCCUGGAGCUCAACUCCAGAACUGCCUUUGAUACUGGUGAUCUUGAGUCCGGGAGAGGUAAGUGGAAUUCCGAGUGUAGAGGUGAAAUUCGUAGAUAUUCGGAAGAACACCAGUGGCGAAGGCGACUUACUGGACACAUAUUGACGCUGAGGUGCGAAAGCGUGGGGAGCAAACAGGG